rnacentral:rRNA from 1 species
GGACGAACGCUGGCGGCGUGCCUAACACAUGCAAGUCGAGCGAAGAGCUUAUCAUGACACCUUCGGGUAGAUUGAUAAACUUCUUAGCGGCGGAUGGGUGAGUAACGCGUGAGGAACCUGCCUUCCACAAGGGGAUAGCCUCGGGAAACCGGGAUUAAUACCCUAUGAUACUUCCAAGUCACAUGACCUGGAAGUUAAAGCGUUAUCGGUGGAAGAUGGCCUCUCGUCCCAUUAUCUAUUUGGUGAGGUAACGGCUCUCCACGGCUACGAUGGGUAGCCGGCUUGAUGAGAGCGACCGGCCACACUGCUAACUGAGACACGGUCCACCACUCCUACUAGGAGGCAGCAGCUGGGGAAUCUUACUGCAAUGGGCGAAAACCUGAUGGUAGCGACGCCGCCGUGAGCAGAAGAAGGCCUUCUUCGUUGUAAAGCUCUGUCUGGAGGGACGAAGAUAAGUGACGGUACCUCCGGAGGAAGCCACGGCUAACUACGUGCCAGCAGCCGCGGUAAUACGUAGGUGGCGAGCGUUGUCCGGAAUCACUGGGCGUAAAGGGCGCGCAGGCGGCGAGUCAAGUCACACGUGAAAACCCCUGGCUCAACUGUGGGAUGUCCUUCGAAACUGUCUUGCUUGAGUGCAGGAGAGGGAAGCGGAAUUCCCGGUGUAGCGGUGAAAUGCGUAGAUAUCGGGAGGAACACCAGUGGCGAAGGCGACUACCUGGACUAAUACUGACGCUGAUGCACGAAAGCUAGGGGAGCAAACAGGAUUAGAUACCCUGGUAGUCCUAGCUGUAAACGAUGGGUACUAGGUGUAGGAGGUUUCGAUACCUUCUGUGCCGGAGUUAACGCAUUAAGUACCCCGCCUGGGGAGUACGUCCGCAAGCAUG